GGCGAGCGAACGGGGAGCAGCCCAGAGCCUGAAUCAGUGUGUGUGUUAGUGGAAGCGUCUGGAAAGGCGUGCGAUACAGGGUGACAGCCCCGUACACAAAAAUGCACAUGCUGUGAGCUCGAUGAGUAGGGCGGGACACGUGGUAUCCUGUCUGAAUAUGGGGGGACCAUCCUCCAAGGCUAAAUACUCCUGACUGACCGAUAGUGAACCAGUACCGUGAGGGAAAGGCGAAAAGAACCCCGGCGAGGGGAGUGAAAAAGAACCUGAAACCGUGUACGUACAAGCAGUGGGAGCACAGACAAUCUGUGUGACUGCGUACCUUUUGUAUAAUGGGUCAGCGACUUAUAUUCUGUAGCAAGGUUAACCGAAUAGGGGAGCCGAAGGGAAACCGAGUCUUAACUGGGCGUUAAGUUGCAGGGUAUAGACCCGAAACCCGGUGAUCUAGCCAUGGGCAGGUUGAAGGUUGGGUAACACUAACUGGAGGACCGAACCGACUAAUGUUGAAAAAUUAGCGGAUGACUUGUGGCUGGGGGUGAAAGGCCAAUCAAACCGGGAGAUAGCUGGUUCUCCCCGAAAGCUAUUUAGGUAGCGCCUCGUGAAUUCAUCUCCGGGGGUAGAGCACUGUUUCGGCAAGGGGGUCAUCCCGACUUACCAACCCGAUGCAAACUGCGAAUACCGGAGAAUGUUAUCACGGGAGACACACGGCGGGUGCUAACGUCCGUCGUGAAGAGGGAAACAACCCAGACCGCCAGCUAAGGUCCCAAAGUCAUGGUUAAGUGGGAAACGAUGUGGGAAGGCCCAGACAGCCAGGAUGUUGGCUUAGAAGCAGCCAUCAUUUAAAGAAAGCGUAAUAGCUCACUGGUCGAGUCGGCCUGCGCGGAAGAUGUAACGGGGCUAAACCAUGCACCGAAGCUGCGGCAGCGACGCUGAUGCGUUGUUGGGUAGGGGAGCGUUCUGUAAGCCUGUGAAGGUGUACUGUGAGGUAUGCUGGAGGUAUCAGAAGUGCGAAUGCUGACAUAAGUAACGAUAAAGCGGGUGAAAAGCCCGCUCGCC
rnacentral:rRNA from 1 species